AGUUCCAAUAGCGUAUAUUAAAGAUGUUGCAGUUAAAAAACUUAUAGUUGGAUUUCUGGCUGGGCAUGUGGGUCCGCUCUUACAAGUGUGUACCAUAUAUGUCUAGCCGUCUUUUGGGAGAUCCAUAGCGGUAUUAAGUUGUUAGUUUUGGGAUCCCAAUCCUUUACUGGGAAAAAAUAAGAGUGUUCAAAGUAGGCUUACGCCGUUGAAUAUAUUAGCAUACAAUAAUAACAUAGAACUAUUGUACUAUUUUGUUGGUUUGCGCACAAUAGUAAUGAAUAUCAGGGACAUUUGCAGGUAUUUGUAUUCCAUUGUCAGAUGUGAAAUUCUUGAACUUUUGGAAGACAAACUACUGUAAAACAUUUACCAAAGAUGUUUUCA
rnacentral:rRNA from 1 species